AUGAGAUGGAACUGAGAAGUCCUGGGUGUCCCCAUCCAUGCCCCAUUUGGGAAACUCUAGUGUCAGCAAAUGGUUCAGGGAUCAAAGCAGGCUUGAAGGUGGUAGUGGCUCCUAUUAUUCAUCCGUGGCCAGAUGGCUCUUCUCAUCAAGCCCAGGCUGCUGGCUCCUGCUCCAGCGUUCCUUCUUCAGUCAGCUCAUGUCCUCCUGUACAUGGGGUCCAGAGGAGACAGCAACUUCCUGCACACAAGACUGAUGGCACAGUUCAGGCCUCUGGCCUUCUGUUCCAGGACUCUAUGGGCAACAUAGCAAGACCCUGUCUCUAAGAAAAAUAUAAUUAAAAAAUUAGGUGGAUGUGGUGCGUGCCUGUAGUCCCAGCUACUCAGAAGGCUAAGGCAAGAUGAUCGCCUGAGCCCGGGAGGUGGAGGCUGCAGUGAACUAUGAUCGUGCCACUGCACUCCAGCCUGGAUGACAGAGUGAGACCCUGUCUCAAAUAAUAAUAACAAACAAACAAAACCAGUUUCUGUGCCUUUGACUGGGGCUGGAGGGACUACUGGCAUUGGCUCCAUUAGCACAAAGGAAUCUUGAUGUCAUUUAUUCCAUUCCUGUUUCUGGAGUGGCUCAAACCCAAGUAACCUCAAAACAGUGUGAACUGAUGCAGGAAUACACUUCCAUACACCCAUGGAAACUGAAUGUAUGUUCACACAAGAACUUACACCUGAAUGUUCACAGCAGCAUUAUACCUAACAACCAAAAAGUGAAAACAAUCCCAAUAUCCAUCAACUGAUGAGUGAUAAACAAGCUGUGGUACAUCCAUACAAGGGAAGAUUCAGCCAUAAAAAGGGAUGCGGCACUACUGAUACAUGAUACAACAUAAACAAACUUUGAAAACAUUAUGCUAAGAAGCCAGACACAAAAGAUCACAUAUUAUAUAAUUAUCUUUGUAUAAAAUGUCCAGAAUAGGCAAAUCUAUAGGGACAGAAGGUAAAUUAGUAGUUGCCUAGGGCUGUGGGGAGGGAAGAGUAGGGAGUGACUCUCUUUUUGGGGUGAUGAAAUGUUCCGAAUUACACAAUGGUGAUAACCAUCACAUUUAGUGUAUGCACAACCUAUAAAAACACUAAAACCCACUAAAUUAUAUACUUUAAAGGGGUGAAUUUUAUGGCAUAUGAAUUAUAUCCAUAAAGAAGAUUAUAAUAAAAACCAAAACAGUAUGAACAAUGAUGUGAGGGAAGUAGAGUUUUAUUCUCCAAACUGAAGUUUCUAGACUCCUGACACAUCUAGAAAUGUACUCAAUGGACAUUUCCCAAGUUUCAAUGAAAUAAUAUUCCCAAGAACCGUUUUCCAUAAAGAGUGAGACAUGAGCCCGCAUCUCAAUUCAGACCUAGCUAGAUCAACACUGUAUCCUGUAACUUUACAGAGUAGUCUAAAUCUAAGGAUGGAAGAAGACAGGAAAAUCAAAGAGAACUUCAGUUUACACCAGCUAUCUUCUAUGGAGGGAGAAGUCUUGCCCUGCGGGUUCAGGAAACACCCUCCAUACUGACAUUGUUCUGGGAGCUGGCGGCUCAACCCUUGGGGAAGAAGAGCCAUUCACCAAGGAAAGAGAGAAAGGGAAAAGCUCACAUGCCACCGCACUUGCACCCACAACCCUAACUUUCAAAACAAAGGACAAACCAGCAACCCAGCUAUUCCCACGGCCACUGGAUCCACUAGUUCAGUUCCUCUUUGGCUGUAUGACUCACCUCAGAGACCCAUACACUCCAAAGUAGGUCUACCGCACCCCCUCGCCCCAAUGGUUAUGAAAUGAGGGUGUGUAUGAGGGUGUGGGGACUAUUCUGACUUCCGUGUAAUGAAGUGCUGACACAGACCAAACUCAAGCCUGUGACUCCACUUUGCCCCUUCAUCACAUACCCCUGUAAUAAAUUUGCCUUAAUAGUGUCUUUGGCAGAGCAGAGUUUUUAAUUUUAAAGAGGUACAGUUUAUCUUUUUUUUCUUUUGUGGAUCAUGCUUUUGGUGUUGUAUCUAUCCCCAUGUUUUUACCUGUCUUUUCCACUGGGAUUAUAGGUGUGAGCCACCGCACCUGGCAUAGUUAUCCUUUUUUAAAAAGUGUUUAGUUUAAUUAUAUCAUGGUUGGUGAACAUGGUCUAUAGAAUAUAUGUUCUUUGGAAUUUGUUGAGACCUGCUUUAUGACUGAGUACAUGGUCAAGUUUUGAAAAUGUUCUAUGUGUGUGUUUGUGUGUGUGAGAGUGUGUGUGUGUGUAUAUGUUUUCUCCCUUCCUCCUUUGGAUCUACAGACUUUUCUUGAUUUCCUGCUUAUCUUCUUCUGGUUUAGAAAUUAUACAUUCUACUUUUAUUCCUUUAGUCAUUACAUUUAUUUAUUUAUUUAUUUAUUUAUGUUUUGAGACAGGGUCUCGCUCUGUUUGCCCAGGCUGGAGUGCAGUGGUGUCAUCUCAGCUCACUGCAAGUUCCGCCUCCCGGCUUUCACGCCAUUCUCCUGCCUCAGUCUCCCAAGUAGCUGGGACUACAGGUGCCCGCCACCACGCCUGGCUAAUUUUUUGUAUUUUUAGUAGAGAUGGGGUUUCACCGUGUUAGCCAGGAUGGUCUCGAUCUCCUGACCUCGUGAUCCUCCCACCUCAGCCUCCCAAAGUGCUGGAAUUACAGGCAUGAGCCAACGUGCCCGGCCCUAUUUAUUUACUUUUUUGAGACAAAGUCUUGCUCUGUUACACAGGCUGGAGUGCAGUGACAUGAUCUUGGCUCACUGCAGCCUCAACCUCCUGGGCUCAAGCGAUUCUCCCGCCUCAGCCUCCUGAGUAGCAGGGACCACAGGCUCACACCACCACGCCUGACUUAUUUUUAAAUUUUUUGUAGAGAUGGGGUCUUGCUAUAUUGCCCAGGCUGGUCUUGAACUCCUGGGCUCAAGCAAUCUGCCCAUUUUGGCCUCCCAAAGUGCUAGGAUUAUAGUCAUGAGCCACUGUGCCCGGUCUAAAUUUUUUUUAAUCGAGUUAUAACGUACAUGAAAUAAUAUGCACAAAUCUUUAAUAUCCAUUUUGCUGCAGCUUUAUAUAUAUAUAUAUACCCUUGUAAUCACCAUCAGAUUGGGCUGUAGAACAUUUUCAGCAUUUCAGAACGCUCCUUUCUGCGUCCUUCCAGUUAAUACCCCCUUACUUAAGGUGACUGCAGCCUGUGCAUAGUGGCUCAUGCCUGUAAUCCUAGCACUUUCAGAGCCUGAGGCAGGAGGAUCACGUAAGUCCAGGAGUUUGAGACCAGCCUGGGCAACACAGUGAGACACUAUCUCUACAAAUAAUUAAAAAAUUAGCUGGGCAUGGUAGCACGUAUCUGUAGUUUCAGGUACUCAGGAGGCUGAGGCUGGAAGAUUGCUUGAGCCCAAGAGUUGGAGGCUACAGUGAGCUAUGAUCUCACCCCUCCACUACAGCCUGGGCAACAGAGCAAGCACCUAUCUUU
rnacentral:lncRNA from 1 species